rnacentral:tRNA from 1 species
GCCUUCGUGGCAUAGUGGUCAGCACGCUGGACGCGUAACCAAAAGGUCUGAGGUUCGAUUCCCGGCGAAGGCA